rnacentral:rRNA from 1 species
UACGUAGGGGGCUAGCGUUGUCCGGAAUCACUGGCUUAAAGCGUGUGUAGGCGGAUCGUUAAGUGCCUUGUGAAAUCCCACGGCUUAACUGUGGAACGGCUGGGCAUACUGGCGGUCUUGAGCCAUCUAGGGGCGACUGGAACAAACGGUGGAGCGGUGAAAUGCGUAGAUAUCGUUGGAACGCCAAUGGUGAAAACAGGUCGCUGGGAUGAGCUGACGCUGGAGACACGAAAGCCAGGGAGCAAACGGG